CUGGAUUGAAGGAGACCUAUAGAGCUUCAGCUCGCAUGUCCAUAAAUGAGUCGAGUUGAAGACACCAGAAAAAUCAACAUCAGACAAAGGUAGAGGAAAGUUGAGAGAGGCAUAUCGUCACAAGUUCCGGUUCUACACUAUGAUGGAUGUUAGUUGUCGAAUUCCAAAACCUUUGUUGAGGCAGUCAAAAGUGCUUUCCUGGAG
rnacentral:misc_RNA from 1 species